CCAUCACCAUGAUGAUGAUGAUGAUGAUGAUGAUGAUGAUCAUCAUCAUCAUCAUCAUCAUCAUCAUCUAUG
rnacentral:pre_miRNA from 1 species